AGCUCAACGGUCGAGCAGUUGCCUUCUAAGCAUCAGGUUACCGGUUCAAAUCCGGUC
rnacentral:tRNA from 1 species